rnacentral:rRNA from 1 species
AACAAGGUCUCCGUUGGUGAACCAGCGGAGGGAUCAUUACUGAGUUUACGCUCUAUAACCCUUUGUGAACAUACCUAUAACUGUUGCUUCGGCGGGUAGGGUCUCCGCGACCCUCCCGGCCUCCCGCCUCCGGGCGGGUCGGCGCCCGCCGGAGGAUAACCAAACUCUGAUUUAACGACGUUUCUUCUGAGUGGUACAAGCAAAUAAUCAAAACUUUUAACAACGGAUCUCUUGGUUCUGGCAUCGAUGAAGAACGCAGCGAAAUGCGAUAAGUAAUGUGAAUUGCAGAAUUCAGUGAAUCAUCGAAUCUUUGAACGCACAUUGCGCCCGCCAGCAUUCUGGCGGGCAUGCCUGUUCGAGCGUCAUUUCAACCCUCAAGCUCUGCUUGGUGUUGGGGCCCUACAGCUGAUGUAGGCCCUCAAAGGUAGUGGCGGACCCUCCCGGAGCCUCCUUUGCGUAGUAACUUUACGUCUCGCACUGGGAUCCGGAGGGACUCUUGCCGUAAAACCCCCCAAUUUUCCAAAGGUUGACCUCGGAUCAGGUAGGAAUACCCGCUGAACUUAAGCAUAUCAAU